GACAGAGGGCGCAAGCGUUGUUCGGAAUUACUGGGCGUAAAGCGUGCGCAGGCGGUCUGUUAAGACAGAUGUGAAAUCCCCGGGCUUAACCUGGGAAUGGCGUUUGGGACUGGGUCGCUAGAGUGUGGCAGAGGGAGGUGGAAUUCCACGUGUAGCAGUGAAAUGCGUAGAGAUGUGGAGGAACACCGAUGGCGAAGGCAGCCUCCUGGGCCAGCACUGACGCUCAUGCACGAAAGCGUGGGGAGCAAACAGG
rnacentral:rRNA from 1 species